rnacentral:rRNA from 1 species
AUUGAACGCUGGCGGCAGGCCUAACACAUGCAAGUCGAGCGAGCGGCGGACGGGUGAGUAAUGUAUGGGGAUCUGCCCGAUAGAGGGGGAUAACUACUGGAAACGGUGGAUAAUACCGCAUACUAUCGGAUGAACCCAUAUGGGCUUAGCUAGUAGGUGGGGUAAAGGCUCACCUAGGCGACGACCUCUAGCUGGUCUGAAAGGAUGAUCAGCCACACUGGAACGGAGACACGGUGCAGACUCCGACGGGAGGCAGCAGUGGGGAAUAUUUCGCAAUGGGCGCGAGCCUGAUGCAGCCAUGCCGCGUGUGUGAAGAAGGCCUUCGGGUUGUAAAGCACUUUCAGCGAUGAGGCGGUACUCGCAGAAUAAGCACCGGCUAACUCCGUGCCAGCCGCCGCGGUAAUAC